rnacentral:rRNA from 1 species
AGAGUUUGAUCCUGGCUCAGGAUGAACGCUGGCGGCGUGCUUAACACAUGCAAGUCGAACGAACCUUCGGGUUAGUGGCGGACGGGUGAGUAACGCGUGAGAAUCUGCCCUCAGGAGGGGGAUAACGGUUGGAAACGACCGCUAAUACCCCAUAUGCCGAGAGGUGAAAUGAAUUUCGCCUGAGGAUGAGCUCGCGUCUGAUUAGUUAGUUGGUGGGGUAAAGGCCUACCAAGACAUCGAUCAGUAGCUGGUCUGAGAGGAUGAUCAGCCACACUGGGACUGAGACACGGCCCAGACUCCUACGGGAGGCAGCAGUGGGGAAUUUUCCGCAAUGGGCGAAAGCCUGACGGAGCAACGCCGCGUGAGGGAUGAAGGCCUCUGGGCUGUAAACCUCUUUUAUCAAGGAAGAAGAUCUGACGGUACUUGAUGAAUAAGCCACGGCUAAUUCCGUGCCAGCAGCCGCGGUAAUACGGGAGUGGCAAGCGUUAUCCGGAAUUAUUGGGCGUAAAGCGUCCGCAGGCGGUCUGUCAAGUCUGCUGUUAAAGCGUGGAGCUUAACUCCAUUUCGGCAGUGGAAACUGACAGACUAGAGUGUGGUAGGGGCAGAGGGAAUUCCCGGUGUAGCGGUGAAAUGCGUAGAUAUCGGGAAGAACACCAGUGGCGAAGGCGCUCUGCUGGGCCAUAACUGACGCUCAUGGACGAAAGCCAGGGGAGCGAAAGGGAUUAGAUACCCCUGUAGUCCUGGCCGUAAACGAUGAACACUAGGUGUCGGGGGAAUCGACCCCCUCGGUGUCGUAGCCAACGCGUUAAGUGUUCCGCCUGGGGAGUACGCACGCAAGUGUGAAACUCAAAGGAAUUGACGGGGGCCCGCACAAGCGGUGGAGUAUGUGGUUUAAUUCGAUGCAACGCGAAGAACCUUACCAGGGUUUGACAUCCUGCGAAUCUCUUGGAAACGAGAGAGUGCCUUCGGGAACGCAGUGACAGGUGGUGCAUGGCUGUCGUCAGCUCGUGUCGUGAGAUGUUGGGUUAAGUCCCGCAACGAGCGCAACCCACGUCGUUAGUUGCCAGCAUUUAGUUGGGCACUCUAGCGAGACCGCCGGUGAUAAACCGGAGGAAGGUGUGGAUGACGUCAAGUCAUCAUGCCCCUUACAUCCUGGGCUACACACGUACUACAAUGCUACGGACAAAGGGCAGCAAACUCGCGAGAGCUAGCAAAUCCCAUAAACCGUGGCUCAGUUCAGAUCGUAGGCUGCAACUCGCCUACGUGAAGGAGGAAUCGCUAGUAAUCGCAGGUCAGCAUACUGCGGUGAAUACGUUCCCGGGCCUUGUACACACCGCCCGUCACACCAUGGAAGUUGGCCACGCCCGAAGCCGUUACUCCAACCCUUGUGGAGGAGGACGUCGAAGGUGGGGCUGAUGACUGGGGUGAAGUCGUAACAAGGUA